UCUAUAGGCAAGGAAAUCGGGACGCCAAGCGGACAAGCUAGUGGCGAUACGCAUUUGAAAGGAUUGCUCUAAAGGUAAUGCUCGUUUCGUUAUGGAUGUUGAUCAAGCAAGGAAAUCAAUAACCGAAUACAAGUUUUGAAUGCUUCCGCGAUAAUCUAAUCUAGUUCAAACCAUGUUGUUUUGUAAACACUUCUAAACGUUGAAUAUUUUAAUCUAGUUAGUUGACUAUGUUCAAAUGCUAUAAUGAAGUACAUCUUAGUUUAUUAA